rnacentral:rRNA from 1 species
UACGUAGGGUGCAAGCGUUGUCCGGAAUUAUUGGGCGUAAAGAGCUCGUAGGCGGUCUGUCGCGUCGGAUGUGAAAAUCCAGGGCUCAACCCUGGACCUGCAUUCGAUACGGGCAGACUAGAGUGCGGUAGGGGAGAUUGGAAUUCCUGGUGUAGCGGUGGAAUGCGCAGAUAUCAGGAGGAACACCGAUGGCGAAGGCAGAUCUCUGGGCCGUUACUGACGCUGAGGAGCGAAAGCGUGGGGAGCGAACAGG